GGGGCACUUCCCAGAGGGGAGGCAGCAAGAGCAAUGGCUCAGGCCCUGACCUGGUGCUCAUGAGACCUGGGGUCUACUCCCGACUCUGCCACCCCCCUGCUGGGUGACCUUGGUCACAUCACUUUUUCCCUGUUUUUUCACCCUUUUGUGUGUUUAGACUGUAGGCCCUUUGGCUCAGGGACUGGUUCUCCUUCCAUGCCUGUGCAGCGGGGCCCUGCUCUCGGUUGGGUGCUCCUAUAGUACACUAAUAACUCUGAAUUUUGCCCAAUUCACCCUGUGGUGAAAAACAAUCCCCCCUGCCCCUUUGUUUUAGCAACGGUGUUUUGUUUUUGCAAGAGGAGAAGGAAAAUCUGCAAGGCUUGUGAGUUUCCACCGAGGGGCUGAUUUCUGGACAAGCCCAGCUGAGACAGGAAUGUGCCCACGAAUCCACAAUGUAAGCAAUGGGCCACUCAUCGUCCACAGUAAAAUGUUAUCACCUUCUCCUGAAGGGGCUCUUCCUGGAUUGGCCUCUCGCUGCAGAGAGCUGCCGGCUGCCAAGGCCAGCUUUUCUAAUUAUACCUGCGCCCUGCCAAAGGCUCUCCACAGUCAGAUCACCCAGGCCAUUGCAGGAGCUGCACUGGUUAUCCGGCCUCCUGUGCCCGCUCUACAGCAAGGGAACCUCGAAACCCUGAGCUGGGGGCUGGCAGCCCAGCGCGGGACAGACUUGCUCCAGUGCGUCGCCGCGUGAGUAUGUGGGUGACAUCUGAGCUAAUGGGGGAUUUGACAUUAUUUCCUUUCUAUUCCCCCCACUUCCCCGUUAGCUCCUUGAUUGUCACGCUCGUUACGCCUGGCCUGUGGGGGUUCUGAGAGCUUUGUCUGCAUGUUAGCCAAGCACAUGUUCUGCUUAAUACCUACUGCCCCUCCCCCCCAGCACACCCCAUUCCCAGGACCCCCCGGCACAUCCCUCCCCCCACCUCCUGUAGGAAUCCCGCCAUCCCCCACAUGCCAGAGACAGCAUGGUGGCUCCGUAGACAGGCUGUAUGUGGGGGGGGGGGCAGGCCAAAGGGCACUAAGACUGGAGGGUCACCAGGACCCAGGCUGGCAGGGAUGUGGAAGCUGUGGCCCUGGGGGUCAGCGCCUCCGGGUCGGGAGUGCAAACAUGGGGGGCUGAGUGGUUUAUUGAUGCUGGGGAACCUACAUCUCCCCAAGCGGCCUCCCCCGCCCCCAGCUGCUGGCCGGUUCCUCUUCGCUUAGAGGCCUCUAAGGGGGAAGCAGGAGACUCCUGAAGGACUGAGACCCUCCUGCGUGGAAGUCCCUGGAGCCCCACUGAGCCGCCCCCUUGUGCCCCAGGAGCCGAGGGGGAGGGGUGAAUCGCCUCUGAGGCCCCAGCUGCAUUGUCCCCACCCCACAGGGCAAUGCGGGCACCGGCCAGGUGGGGUCAACGCUGGGGGCUCAGUUCUGCCCUCAGCUCCACUCGCUUCCCCCUUGUACGUGAGGGCAGGGCUGGGGCCUCCCCCCUGCGAUCGGGAGCCCUGGGGCCCCCUGGGGUUUCUCAGACGCUGCCUCUGCAUCCUCGUACCCAAAGUCCUCCCCAGAGACAGCAGUGGGGGGUCAGAGCCAAGCCAGGCCCUCGGGAACCCGCUGACUAGAGGAGCGGCCUGGCAGCUGCUUCCCGGUAACCCAGCAGCGAUGCAGGGCCUGCUGCGCAGUGAAACUGCCCCACGCCGGCCGGAGUCUGCCGGGGCAGAAGGACAGAGGGGGAAGGGCGUGUUCAUCCCCCGGGCGCCAUCAAAUCCGCCCCGUGACACAGGAGCUCACAGUCGCACCGCUGAGCUUGGCUGAGGUGCCUGGGGCGUGAGACACACCCACCCCGUCGGUCCACAGGCUCUGCUCGGCCCGGUGUCCGUCAAGUGACUGUCAUGCACUUCAACGGUGCUGGCAAUUCGGUGUCAUGGCGGGGAAGACAAGGGGUGUUUACUGGUGUUUUGCCCCAAAUUUUCCCUCCCUGGCCCUCGCCCAGUUAUGUGCUGUCCAGCAGUCAUAUAGCUGCUACCCUCCACCCCAGAGUCAGCUGCAUUCCAUGGGUGCCAGCCCCUUUGCCAUCCCAGAUGAAAGUUUACACAGUAUCUCUCUGGGCCAUUCGUGUAUCCGCCUCACUGCGAUGUCAGCGCAGGCCUGCAGAUAGCCGGAGUAAACGUCUGCUGCAGUCUGCAGGGGGAGCAAAGGAGGGUUUUUGUAGGACCUAUAGAAAUGAUGGGCAGCGAGGAGGUUCGUGGCUUUCGUUUUGCAGUUUCCCGUGGAUGACGGUGGCCGAUUGCAGAGUGAAGCGAGAGAGCCACAGACGAGGGGCUAGGACAAUGGGGGAGGCUGACGCUUUCUGGUUGUGGGUCCCCAGCGGGAUAUACCUGGGAUCUGUCGGGGGGGGGGAGCUCAGCACCCACAGCUCCUGGGAGCGUUGUACUAGGGGCUCCCUCCAUUCCCCCACUGUGUACGUCUUUCCCCUCCCCCUCUAUUUCAGGGACUCCCCGCAACUCCUCCUAUCUCCCUGGUGCCAGGGGUUGUGUGUG